rnacentral:rRNA from 1 species
AGUGAACGCUGGCGGUAGGCCUAACACAUGCAAGUCGAACGGCAGCACAGUAAGAGCUUGCUCUUACGGGUGGCGAGUGGCGGACGGGUGAGGAAUACAUCGGAAUCUACUUUUUCGAGGGGGAUAACGUAGGGAAACUUACGCUAAUACCGCAUACGACCUACGGGUGAAAGCAGGGGAUCUUCGGACCUUGGGCGAUUGAAUGAGCCGAUGUCGGAUUAGCUAGUUGGCGGGGUAAAGGCCCACCAAGGCGACGAUCCGUAGCUGGUCUGAGAGGAUGAUCAGCCACACUGGAACUGAGACACGGUCCAGACUCCUACGGGAGGCAGCAGUGGGGAAUAUUGGACAAUGGGCGCAAGCCUGAUCCAGCCAUACCGCGUGGGUGAAGAAGGCCUUCGGGUUGUAAAGCCCUUUUGUUGGGAAAGAAAAGCAGCAGGUUAAUACCCCGCUGUUCUGACGGUACCCAAAGAAUAAGCACCGGCUAACUUCGUG